rnacentral:rRNA from 1 species
UACGUAGGGGGCUAGCGUUGUCCGGAAUCAUUGGGCGUAAAGAGCGUGUAGGCGGUCCGGUAAGUCCGCUGUGAAAGUCGGGGGCUCAACCCUCGAAUGCCGGUGGAUACUGUCGGGCUAGAGUGCGGAAGAGGCGAGUGGAAUUCCCAGUGUAGAGGUGAAAUUCGUAGAUAUCGGGAGGAACACCGGCGGCGAAGGCGGCGACCUGGUUGGAUACUGACGCUGAGGCGCGAAAGCGUGGGGAGCAAACAGG